CCUCCUAGGGUGUAACCUUGGCGUGGUGGGAGGGCAUAGUACCCGGAUGGUACCUUAAGGGCCUUAAAGGCCUCCUGAGGUUACUGAGAAGGGGAAACCAAGCACCCAACGCCGUCGUCGCUGUCAUCGUGCCGCGGACGGCUCGUCGUAUCGUUAGUGCUGUCAUCGUGCCGCGGACGGCUUAUCGCGGCGUCGGUUCCGUCAACGUGUCGCGGACGGUUUUCGCGUCGCGACGCCGAUCCCGUGUCCCGUCAUCGUGCCGCGGACGGUUUUCGCGUCGUCGCGUGUCCAUACUGCAUUGCCACGAGUCGUACAAUGACUCAUAUGUGGCACGCACAUCUGUGGAGGACUUAGUGCGUUGCCUUGUUGCUCGUCAUCGGAGCGUACGAGCAACGAGAGAGUCGCGUAACCGCAUAACCGCGUUUUCGCGUCGUCGCGUCUUCGCGUCGUACUUCUAUCCCGUUUUCACGAUUCGAGGAUCGUACUUCGUUGCCGACUAACUGGGAUAUCUCUCAGCGUUGCUAUCGGUAAUAUAUUAAUACCCUAUUAAUAUAAUUAAUUUUAUAUAAUAUUAGGUAACGUUAAUACAAUAUUAAUGUUAUAUAUAUUAUAUAAAUAUUUAUGUAUUAAUAAAUUUAAUAUAUUAAUGGAGACGCAACGUUAAAACGCCUCAGUAUCGCGGCUGAGGUGAAUGCCGGCCGCGUAGCAACGUAUGAUCGUGCAUAGUAUAGAUGCGACGAUCGCGCGGUUAAUCAAGAACUUCGGUUCGAGAAUUGGCUGUUGGGGGCACGCUCUGCUUCGACGAACGGUUCGGCCUGAAUCGGUUAGAAUUCGAUCGAUUUUUGAAUCGUCGUUCUCUCAUCUUGUACCGUCUAUCAGCUGUACUGUAUCGCAUUGAGGAUAGUUGGCUGUGUUUUAUUAGGUUCGAUUUUCGCUCGCUAGAGAAGCUGAUUUCUCAUCUUCUAAGUGAUCUAAAUUGUGACACUUAGGACUUGGGUAUCUUCAUUCUCGACCCGUCUCUCAGCCUUAUGAUAAGCGUAAGUUUCAGUCUGUAUGAUAGAAACUUGGUGGUUCUCUGUGAUCGUUCCUAAUAAAGUUCGAGUCGGCCUUCGGUGAGAACAAGCGCGGACAAGAAUUGAGCGUCGAUUCCAUCAAUCGAUUUCGUCUUCUUCCUUUGCUCGCUUAACCCUAGCUCGGAGUAAUCGUGAAUUCCCGACUUGUCGACUCGCAGUAUGAUUCUCGAGUGAAACGGGGUUCGAUCGUGCCGAAAUUCGAAAGUGCGGGAGUUUCGUUUAAAGUAUCGCGCGUAAAAGUGCGGGAGUAUUUUUUAAUAAACGUGCGGGAGUGCCGUUUAAAGUAUCGCGCGUGUGAAUCUACCUGAGAGGAGGAGGAGGCCUAGGAGAGGCAUCGGGCAUCGGUGAAACAACCCUGUGAUCAACCUAACGAUCUUGAGAGGAGGAGGAGGCCUAGGAGAGGCAUCCUGCCCCGGCGGAGCAACCCAAGGACAACGCAGCCUCAAGACCAAAUCUCCGCUGUUGCGCAUCAGUGCCGGUGAGUGACAAACUUUUAUUUAAUUUUAAAGUAACGGAUUCAUAGAGAUUGUAGAUGUAGAUUAUAGAGUAUAGAUUGUAAUAAAUCCGUUACUUUUAAAUGGAUGAG